rnacentral:rRNA from 16 species
ACAGGUUAGUUUUACCCUACUGAUUGAGGGUUAUCGUAACAGUAAUUCAACUUAGUACGAGAGGAACUGUUGAUUCGUGUAAUUGGUCUUGGCCGUUGUCCAACAGGGCAGUGCGGCGAAGCUACCACACGCUAGAUAAUGGCUGAACGCCUCUAAGCCAGAAUCUGUGCUGGAAGCGAUGAUGUUGGUCCCGCUGAUAUGAAAUGAGUAGAAAUAAGGCAUC